rnacentral:rRNA from 1 species
ACGUAGGAUGCAAGCGUUGUCCGGAAUUAUUGGGCGUAAAGAGUUCGUAGGCGGUGUAUCAAGUCUGGUGUUAAAGCCCGAGGCUCAACCUCGGUUCGGCACUGGAUACUGGUACGCUAGAGUGCAGUAGAGGCAAGGGGAAUUCCCAGUGUAGCGGUGAAAUGCGUAGAUAUUGGGAGGAACACCAGUGGCGUAAGCGCCUUGCUGGGCUGUUACUGACGCUGAGGAACGAAAGCCAGGGGAGCAAAUGG